CAACACCUUUGGCUGGUGAAGAAGGAUGAAUGUUUUUGAUACAUAGGUGAAAUUCCUUUAGUGUAUAACAAACUCUUUAUUUGACACACCUAAUUUAGUGAAGGGAUCUGUACUGCUGUCAUGUAUUCAAAACAGAUGUGCAUAACGCAUGAAAAGUGCCUCAUUGUGUAGUUAAGAGGUUUCAGUAUGAGUUUCAUAUAAAUUUAUAUGCCUGAUAUAUAUUGAAGUUAUGAUGUUGAAAUUUGAUGCUUCAUGCAGAAAGGAUUACUGCCCCCAUGAACCGGAUUAAACAAGAAGAUAAAGGGGAAUGUGGAGAUAUGAUGGAAUGCAAGACUUUGACCCCUUGAACUUACCAGAGAAAAGAAAAAAUAUAUAUGGUUAAUAGUUUAAUACUUGUUCCUGCCGCAAAGAAAGUUUGGGUGGAAGUUUUACUUCAGAUUUAGCUCAGAGUGAUAGUGUCUGUCUAAGCCUGAACAAUAUAUUGACAGCUGAUCUAGGAGCCUCAAGCACUUUUAGAUCAAAAGGAGGCAUGUCAUACAAAAUGUUGUCUUUGCACAAAAUGUGACUCCAUUUUUCUUCGGCCUUUUUUCUUCUUAUUUAUCUCGAUCCAUUCCUGGUUUAGGCUGGCAAAAAGCUACUCCUCAUUACCAACUCAAAUUAGCAUUACACAGAACGAUGCAACACUUCUCUUCCUACUGGUAUGGGUUGGCUAGCUGGAUCUAUUCGACUGUAAAUAAGUUUGUCCAUCCACUUGGCUUUGUAACUUCGCGCCAUUGUGGCAUGUUC